CAGAAUUCUAUGGGAAUUAUUUGAUUAGCAACGAGGCAGCAAAACUGUGAUCUGUUCUUUGGCUGCGCUUUGAUGAUAGAAUGUCGGAAUGAUUAGAUUCUUUCUCACUUUCUCACUGGGGCGAUUACGUACAGGAGCCGGAGAUGUACACAGUUUAGAGCCAAUUUGAGACUGAAUAAAACACAAGUCUAGCAAAUAUCUUAGGAGAACAUGGCAACAAUAGGGCAAAAUAGUGCAGCAUUGGACUGGGGAUAUUACCCAGAAUCCCUGGCUGUGAGGGAAGAGCUGGUGCCGUGUGAUUAUGAGGUAAAAUGGGAUAUUACCCAGAAUCCCUGGCUGUGAGGGAAGAGCUGGUGCCGUGUGAUUAUGAGGUAAAAUGGGAUAUUACCCAGAAUCCCUGGCUGUGAGGGAAGAGCUGGGUGCCGUGUGAUUAUGAGGUAAAAUGGGAUAUUACCCAGAAUCCCUGGCUGUGAGGGAAGAGCUGGGUGCCGUGUGAUUAUGGG